AUUGAACGCUGGCGGUAUGCCUAACCCUUGCAAGUCGAACGAGGUAGCAAUACCUAGUGGCGGACGGGUGAGGAAUACGUAGGGAUCUGCCUUUAAGUGGGGGAUAACCCGGGGAAACCCGGAUUAAUACCGCAUGAUCUCGCAAGAGCAAAGUGGGGGAUCGCAAGACCUCACGCUUUUAAAGGAACCUACGUCGGAUUAGCUUGUUGGUGAGGUAAUGGCUCACCAGGGCAACAAUCCGUAACUGGUCUGAGAGGAUGAUCAGUCACACCGGAACUGAAACACGGUCCGGACUCCUACGGGAGGCAGCAGUGGGGAAUAUUGGACAAUGGGCGAAAGCCUGAUCCAGCAAUACCGCGUGUGUGAAGAAGGCCUUCGGGUUGUAAAGCACUUUAAGUUGGGAAGAAAAAACUUCAAUUAAUACUUGAAGUCUUGACGGUACCGACAGAAUAACCACCGGCUAACUCUGUG
rnacentral:rRNA from 1 species